AAGCGGAGAAAGGCGGCGGGGAGGCGAGCAGACGGGACAGCCGGCGCUGAGAGGUCACCUUUGAUGUAGACGUCGUCGUCGGCGCGCAUGAACCACUCAUACUUGUCCAGGUGUUAGAGAUUAAGCAUUAGACAAGGUGGAAGGCUCUGGACAUGGAAAUGUCAACAAGACAUUCACUGCCACCUCUCACGAAGUUUACAGUGCAGUGGAGAAGACUGAUAUUAAACACCACACUACAAAAUGAAUUACAGUGGUGGCAAAUGAUAUGAAGUGUCUGCACCUCUUCCGCCUUUGCAAAACACGCACACGAGGGGAUGACAGGAGAUCAUAUGCUGAAAUAUGAAACGAAUUAUCUGACUGUGAGACGGUCCACAUGUCCAAAUCAUCAAUGCACUUUGAGAAGAAGAGAAUGAGAUUCCUGAUGUCACUUAGGAAAGGAUCAAAAGUUUCACUCCUGGACUCUUUGCAGAGCUGGAAGUAGAAUCAUCUUAAAGAGGAUAGUAGCCAUUCCUAUCUUUUGUAAAAGUAUUAGUUCAUGGAUGAGAUUUUAUUGGCUGUCCCAGAAAAUAAGGAGAGAAGGGAGAAGAGAGGGCCUUGGAGGCCAAAUAGUGAGAGAGAACUUGUGAAGGGGACCAAAAUUUGUGGGUCCUCUUGAGUCCCCUUAGGGAGUAGCCUCCAGGGAACCUGGAUCCCAGAGUCGUUUCAGCCUCUACAAGGACCUAGAGCAUCCAGUGGAAGAGACGCAGAGCCACUAGACCUGAAGGGGACCGUGCUUGAGGAAUGAUGGCUGUAUCAGCACAAACUGCUACAGACCCAUAACUUCAACAGUAUCCCUGAUACCUGAUGCUGGCACAAUCCUAAGGAUUUAGAUAACAAUGGGGGUGCGGGGGGCAUAUCCCAGGAAUGUCUUAGAUUUAAUUUCUUAUUAUCCACUCCAAAUGGAGGCCUGGAGAUGGACUUCAGAUGGCUAAAAAAAAUAAAGAAAGAAAGAAAUGUGACAUGGCAUGCAUACUGAGUGUGUAGAUUAAGAUUUAUACUGUACAUAAUCCACCCUCUGUUAGGUAAUAAUGACCUUUAAACAUACUUAAAACUAAGUUGCUUUCCCCAAUGACACUUCUAUUAUACAUAGAAUGUUAAUAAAGUACUUGAUGUUGUUUCAA